CGUGGCUGAGUCGGCCCUGCCUCAUCAGUCACAGAAGGAGAGGGUGGAGCCUUGUUUCUGAGUAGGGUGGGUGUGGGGCAGUGGGGGGCGGUAGGCCUCAGAGGUAUUCCAGAGUAGAGAUUCAUGGAGCUUGGGAAAGGGAGGGUCUUGGCCCCAGGGGCACAGGCUGCUUUGUGACCCACCUCAGAGUGUGGUUCACACCUCUUCUCCCCAGCAGCACUGGGACGCUGGCCCCAGGGAUCUGGGCCCCUCCAUGACCUUCCACACUGGAUGCCUCUUUCCCUGCAGGCCCUUCCACCUGCCUCGUAUCCCUGUUGCUGACUCCGUCCACCCUGUUCCUGUUAGAUGAGGAUGCUGCAGGGUCCCCGGCAGAGCCCUCUCCUCCAGCAGCAUCUGGCGAAGCCUCUGAGAAGGUGCCUCCCUCGGGGCCGGGCCCUGCUGUGCGUGUCAGGGAGCAGCAGCCACUCAGCAGCCUGAGCUCCGUGCUGCUCUACCGCUCAGCCCCUGAGGACUUGCGGCUGCUCUUCUACGAUGAGGUGUCCCGGCUGGAGAGCUUUUGGGCACUCCGUGUGGUGUGUCAGGAGCAGCUGACAGCCCUGCUUGCCUGGAUCCGGGAACCAUGGGAGGAGCUGUUUUCCAUCGGACUCCGGACAGUGAUCCAAGAGGCGCUGGCCCUUGACCGAUGAGGGUCCCACGCUGACCUUG
rnacentral:lncRNA from 1 species